GAGUUACUUCCUUUGUCCUAAAAUUCUUGUCUUAAGUUUAUUUAGAAAUGGAUGUACUAAAAUAAUAAAACAUGACUAGAUACAUUCAUAUCUAGACAGAUCUAAGACAAGAAUUUUAGGACAGAGGAAGUAUUUG
rfam:Hordeum vulgare subsp. vulgare, WGS project CAJW01000000 data, contig: morex_contig_37445